CACAGCCGCGGUAAUACAGAGGGUGCGAGCGUUAAUCGGAUUUACUGGGCGUAAAGCGUGCGUAGGCGGCUUUUUAAGUCGGAUGUGAAAUCCCUGAGCUUAACUUAGGAAUUGCAUUCGAUACUGGGAAGCUAGAGUAUGGGAGAGGAUGGUAGAAUUCCAGGUGUAGCGGUGAAAUGCGUAGAGAUCUGGAGGAAUACCGAUGGCGAAGGCAGCCAUCUGGCCUAAUACUGACGCUGAGGUACGAAAGCAUGGGGAGCAAACAGGAUUAGAUACCCCCGUAGUCCCUGUCUCUUAUACA
rnacentral:rRNA from 1 species